GCUCAGUAACACGUGGAUAACAUGCCCUAGAGUGGAGGAUAAUCUCGGGAAAUUGAGGAUAAUACUCCAUAGAUCAUGAAUUCUGGAACGACUCAUGGUCGAAAGUUCCGGCGCUCUAGGAUUGGUCUGCGGCCUAUCAGGUAGUAGUGGGUGUAACGGACCCACUAGCCGACGACGGGUAUGGGCCUUGAGAGAGGGAGCCCAGAGAUGGAAUCUGAGACACGAUUCCAGGCCCUACGGGGCGCAGCAGUCGCGAAAACUUCACAAUGGAGGCAACUCCGAUGAGGGAAUUCCAAGUGCUAGCACAUUAGUGUUAGCUUUUCUUAAGCAUAGAUAACUUAAGGAAUAAGGGCUGGGUAAGACGGGUGCCAGCCGCCGCGGUAAUACCCGCAGCCCAAGUGGUGGUCGAUUUUAUUGAGUCUAAAACGUUCGUAGCCGGUUCAUUAAAUCCUUGGGUAAAUCGGAUGGCUUAACUAUCCGAAUUCCGGGGAGACUGGUGAACUUGGGACCGGGAGAGGCAAGAGGUACUUUUGGGGUAGGGGUAAAAUCCUGUAAUCCUAAAAGGACCACCGGUGGCGAAGGCGUCUUGCUAGAACGGAUCCGACGGUGAGGGACGAAGCCCUGGGUCGCAAACGGGAUUAGAUACCCCGGUAGUCCAGGGUGUAAACGCUGCAGACUUGGUGUUGGGGACCCUUCGGGGGUGUUCAGUGCCGGAGAGAAGUUGUUAAGUCUGCUACUUGGGGAGUACGUCCGCAAGGAUGAAACUUAAAGGAAUUGGCGGGGGAGCACCACAACGCGUGGAGCCUGCGGUUUAAUUGGAUUCAACGCCGGAGAUCUCACCAGCGGCGACAGCAGUAUGAUGACCAGGUUGAUGACUUUGUUUGACAAGCUGAGAGGAGGUGCAUGGCCGCCGUCAGCUCGUACCGUGAGGCGUCCUGUUAAGUCAGGUAACGAGCGAGACCCACGCCCUUAUUUACCAGCACGUACUUUCGGGUAUGGUGGGGACAAUAGGGGGACCGCCAGUGCUAAACUGGAGGAAGGAGUGGACGACGGUAGGUCCGUAUGCCCCGAAUCCGCUGGGCUACACGCGGGCUACAAUGGUUGAGACAAUGGGUUCCGACGCUGAAAGGCGGAGGUAAUCCUUUAAACUUUAUCGUAGUUCGGAUUGAGGGCUGUAACUCGCCCUCAUGAAGCUGGAAUGCGUAGUAAUCGCGUGUCACAAUCGCGCGGUGAAUACGUCCCUGCUCCUUGCACACACCG
rnacentral:rRNA from 1 species